rnacentral:rRNA from 1 species
GACGAACGCUGGCGGCGUGCUUAACACAUGCAAGUCGAACGAGACGAUUGAAAGCUUGCUUUUAAAAGUCGAGUGGCAAACGGGUGAGUAACGCGUAGACAACCUGCCUUUGAGAUGGGGACAACAGUUCGAAAGGACUGCUAAUACCGAAUGUUGUAUAUUUUCCACAUGGAAGAUAUAUUAAAGAUGGCCUCUAUUUAUAAGCUAUCGCUCAAAGAUGGGUCUGCGUCUGAUUAGCUAGUUGGUGGGGUAACGGCCUACCAAGGCGACGAUCAGUAGCCGGUCUGAGAGGAUGAACGGCUACAUUGGGACUGAGACACGGCCCAGACUCCUACGGGUGGCAGCAGUGGGGAAUCUUCCACAAUGGACGAAAGUCUGAUGGAGCAACGCCGCGUGAGAGAAGAAGGGUUUCGGCUCGUAAAGCUCUGUUGUCGGGGACGAAUGUGCAGUAUUUGAAUAAAGUACUGCAAUGACGGUACCUGACGAGGAAGCCACGGCUAACUACGUGCCAGCCGCCGCGGUAA